rnacentral:lncRNA from 1 species
CCUUGGAUUCUCCUGUAGCCUUUUGGAAAGGGAAGGAGCACUUACUAAAUUCACUGGGAAGUGACAGAGAGCCUUUCCUUGGCCAGGUUGGACAGGUGCUUCUGCCCUCUUCUCAACUAGUUCUCAACCUUGGCCUCUAAAGACUUAGGCACUAAGACGGUUUUGAACAUCAAGUUGGCAUCGCUAGGAUGACUCCAGCUCCACUUAGAAUGCCCUGCCUGACAAAGCUCAAGGUGCCAAGAGAAUUUAGCAUUUGUUCAGCCAACACCAGAAGAGAGUCUCUGCUCCUCAAUGUCUCUAGGAGAGGAGGAGCCUAACUUCCAUAAACUCUGCUUAGUGUCCCCAGGGAGUUCCCAGGCCAGCGAUGGAACCCAUGUCACAGCAGGGACAAUGCUGUGUCCUUAACCUACUGAGCCCCAGAGGAACUCCUGUAGAGAAGUGUUUUCAUAGUCAAUGGACUGACUACCCAGCUGUGGAGUGGGGAACACAGACCUGGUUCCUGUCUUCAAGCAACUUAGAAUCUAAUCUGCAGACAAAACACGGAUUCAUCCAAAAGUGUGGAGCAUUGUGAGUCUGUGUGGCAGCAACCACGAAGAAAGUGAUACAGACUUGGUGGCGGAGAGCACCGACUGCCGCCAGGAUGAGGAGGCUGCAGAAUCUUGCUUUGGGAGGAAAGGAUCUUGCUGCAGGAGUCUGAGGAUAUGUUUGUCCUCUGCGAGCUUGGCUAGAAUAAUUCCCCGGUGGCCACACAACAGGGUGCACCUUGCCACUGAGCCAGACAAAGAUACUGUGGAACCUGACUCAGUACAUUCAGGCAUGAACAAUGAUUCUAGUUCAUUCAAUGUUCCAAAUUUCAGAACAAACUCUACCCAUGCUGCUGCAUGAUGCAAAUUCAAAUGAGUUAACUCGGAGUUCCCAUCAAGGCGCAGUGGUUAACGAAUCCGACUAGGAACCAUGAGGUUGCGAGUUCAAUCUCUGGCCUUGCUCGGUGGGUUAAGGAUCCGGGGUUGCCGUGAGCUGUGGUGUAAGUCGCAGAUGCGGUUCGGAUCCUGAGUUGCAGCGGCCGUGGCGUAGGCCAGCAGCUACAACUCUGAUUAGACCCCUAUCCUGGGAACCUCCAUAUGCCAGGGGAAGCGGGCCUAGAAAAGGCAAAAUGACCAAAAACCAACUAACCAAACAAAAACCAAAUUGAAUAACUCGGUAAUUUCACAACCAUGGAAAUAAGGAUUCAUUUAAACUCAACAUUUGGUUCCUGGUUAAUAGCAAAGAUGACCUCACUCAUGUUCUUUGCUGCUAUUUGACGUUUCUAGUUGUACUAGAUCCCUCCAUGGGACCACAUUUCCUAAUUUGAAAACAAUACUAGACGUGAUUUAGAACAAGAUCAUAAUAUUAACAAGACAUGGUGAGCAGAUAUUAGGGAAAGCUCCCCUAACCCAUUCCUCCAGUUUCCACCAUUGACAACGUCCAGCACUGAAUGGGGAACGUGUGGUACACUGAGCGGCAAAAGGUUCAUAUAAUUUUAAUUAAUGAAAAGUUCCCCGUUUACAUUCAGAUUCAUUUUUUGUGUUGUGACCUUAGUUGAGGUUGGACACACGCACAAUAUUAGGAGUCCCCAGGAUGUUACUAUAGAGAACGUGUACAUUCCCAUUUGUAGCAGCGGGUUAUUCCCGACAGCCAAAAGGUGAAACCAAUCCCAAGGGACAAGAAGAGAUCAGGGGAGAGAUCAAAUGCGAUAUGUACCCAGAAGAGAACAGUGUUGUACCAGAAACAAAAUUAAACUAUUAAAUAGGGUAUCACAUGGAAGAUCCAAAAUAAAACACUGUUUAACAUAAGUGAGGAGCUCCCAUCGUGAUGCGGCAGAAGUGAAUCCAACUAGGAAGCAUGAGAUUGUGGAUUCGAUCCCUGGCCUCGCUCAGUGGAGUAAGGAUCCGGUGAUGCCGGGACCUGUGCUGUAGAUCGCAGAUGUGCCUGGGAUCCUGCCUUGCUGUGGCUCUGGCAUGCGGCGGCAGCUACAGCUCCGAUGAGACCCCUAGCCUGGGAACCUCCAUAUGCCAUGGGUGUGGCC